GAUGAACGCUGGCGGCGUGCCUAAUACAUGCAAGUCGAGCGAACAGACGAGGAGCUUGCUCCUCUGACGUUAGCGGCGGACGGGUGAGUAACACGUGGAUAACCUACCUAUAAGACUGAGAUAACUUCAGGAAACCGUAGCUAAUACCGUAUAAUAUAUUGAACCGCCUGUUUCAAUAGUGAAAGACGGUUUUGCUGUCACUUAUAGAUGGAUCCGCGCCCCAUUAGCUAGUUGGUAAGGUAACGGCCUACCAAGGCAACGAUGCGUAGCCGACCUGAGAGGGUGAUCGGCCACACUGGAACUGAGACACGGCCCAGACUCCUACGGGAGGCAGCAGUAGGGAAUCUUCCGCAAUGGGCGAAAGCCUGACGGAGCAACGCCGCGUGAGUGAUGAAGGUCUUCGGAUCGUAAAACUCUUUUAUUAGGGAAGAACAAAUGUGUAAGUAACGAUGCACGUCUUGACGGUACCUAAUCAGAAAGCCACGGCUAACUACGUG
rnacentral:rRNA from 1 species